UUAUAACUUAUAAGUAUUAUACUAAUAAGUUAAUAACAUACGGGAUACGGUUUAUUAAGCCAUUUUACACCAUACAUUUCUUUUGCUUUUUUUUAUUACUUAACGAGAUAGCUAUUAUAGGUGCCUAAUGCCUAGGUAUAAAAUGUUUUUAUUUUUUUUUUUUAACUAAUUUUCAUUGAGUAAUUACGUAACACAAAUAUUUGCAAAGUAAUAAGACAAUAAUGAUUUAUUUAUUUUAUUUACAGUUUCUUUGUGAACCAAAUGAUAUUGCUAAAGUUCGGACCAAUCUUGAAAAAUAUAAGUACGACAUAGUGCACGCCGAAGAGGAACAUUUGCCCCUACAAAAAGUAACAUUAAGCGAAAUAGAAUACGAACAUUUAGCAAAAUUUAUUAAUAAUGUUCAAGGACUACAGGAUGUCGUUCAAAUUUAUGAUAAUGUAAAUUAAUGUAAUGAUGUAAAAUUAUGAGUUGUCAGGUAAUACAAGCUUGUUAAUAAAUGUUAUUAAUUUACGUGACAGCUUUAUUUAUUUUUAAAACAAAUACGAGUUUAUUAUCUUAUAUUCACAAAAGUUUCAUAUCCUGAAUUGAUUGAGCUAUUGCUUGUUUUUAAUUUAAGUACUCGACCUGUCAUCGUUAACCAUUGACGCAUUUUUUAAACAAUAUUGCAGAGACAAGAAACUUGCAUUUUUGUAGAGAAUAUUCGCGAUUCAAAGGUCAUCAUAUGCAUAACCUGCAACUGCAGCUAGUAUUGCACGGUCACCGUAGACCUGUAAUUUAUUAUAAUUCACGAUAAUGACGUUGGCAUAAUAUUGCAGUAGUAUAACAUUGUAACAUAUAGAGAAUAAGUAGGUAUACAUUAUGCAUUUAUGUUAUAUGUGCAUACGUUUACAUUUUAUAUAAUUGCAAAUAUUUUCGCGAUACGAAGUGCAAUCGUCAUUUGAAUUCUUAGUCUGUUCGUAGCUUUUACCACGGUCCUUAGUCCGUACCUAACUAUUAUUUGAAUUUAGAGUCGCUAUACGAGACUUAUAUUUAAUCGUUUUAUUUCAAGAAUACAUGGCCUUACAAUUUGAUCUUUAUCAUAUAUAUUAAUAUUUCAUAAUAUAAAGUAUAAAUCGCGAUCACAAAAUAAUAUUUCGUCUAUUGUUGAUGUUAUUUUCACGACCAAAAUAAUACAAUAUAAUGACAACGGCACAACGCUCUUCCACGAUGACCUAUGUAUGUGUUUAGUGCGUAUGUGUGAUUGCGGACUCGGGCAGUGUACAGUUCAAUAAUGCAAUAUGAUAUUCCGCCACAGGGCACAGACGCUACAGUUUAACUUUUAACUUUUCACCUGAUUUAUUCGCGGCAAACAACAAAUCCGUUUAUGCAAUGUACGUGGCCCUAUCACAGUGCUUAUAUUGUAUACUCGUUGUUCUCCGAAGACCUAUUCGCCUAGUUUCUCUGAAAGAGCAGACCAAAGCAGAAACAAUGUGUUUAAAUUUCCGUUCGAAAAUCACGAAGUAAAAAAUGUUAAAAAUCAAAGUCCAUACUUGGAAUCGAGCGUUAAGACAACUGCAUAAAUUAAACACAACUGCGAAUAAGUUCUACCGAUUGAGCUAGUCGGACUUGAUUGGCAGUUCGAUCAUAUAGUGUUACAUACCAACCUUUAAUAUUAUCAUCAUCUACAAACAGGUGUUUUGAUACGCAUUCGAACAUAUAGUGGUCUAAAUCCUGUUGGUCACAACUUCCACCGCCACUUCAGAUAUUGCCAAUCUACAAAAUUGAAUCCUGGAUAUCGUGAUGAAAUUUGUGCUUAAAUGAACAUUCAUCUAUAGGAAACGGCACAGUACCCACUACCAUUACUUUAAAACUCUCACCCGGUGAUCCAAUGGAGGACAUGAGUCUUGUAUCCGUUUUAAAUCAUCGGGCAGAUCCGGGACUGUGGUCAGUGGCCUUCGCUAUGUAAUAUAUUCAUAAGGGAUCAUACCUUGUGCAUUUUGAGUUGAAAUCGAAUGUAUUAAUGGCAUGACUACGGCAAGCAGCAUAAACAAAUUUGACAUCACGGUCGUCAUCGUAUUGUUGGUUUGACGCGCAGAUGAAGUAAAGCGCACCAUAGUGUAAUAGUUAUAAAGUGUCCGAAGUACAAUUAAAAAUGAACACGUUCGCGACGAGCAUGUACCAAGCGUGAAAAAAAGUGUGUACGGCCAAAAAUAUUUCCGUUCGAAAAUCACGAAGUAAAAAAUGUUAAAAAUCAAAGUCCAUACUUGGAAUCGAGCGUUAAGACAACUGCAUUAAUCGAACACAACUGCGAAUAAGAUCAAAAAUUACGUUCUUUUCCUCAUUGCUAAUGAACGUUUCAAACACCACACUGUUGUCGAACAAUGUACCAAUUCAUCAAUACUGUUGCAGACAAGAGGCUGUGUGACUUAUACCGACUGAGCUAGUCGGACCGGAUUGGCAGUUCGAUCACAUAGCGUUAGUAAUAAUACAUACCAGCAUUUAAUAUUGUCAUCUUCUAUGAAUAGAUAUAUUACCGUAUACUAACUUAAUUUUUUUUUAAAUAUAUUAUAUGAUGUAUUGAUGCAUAGAAAAUUAUAACUUAACUCGUAUUAACUUAGCUUAUAGGUUAGGUGUUUUUAUUAUUAUUCUAAUUGUAUAAACAUCUAUUGUAUAACUUAUACUAAUUAAUUAUUCUUAACUUAAAUUAUUCACAAUUUGUUUUUCACUUUGAUUUUUAACGUUUUGUACUCCGCGAUUUUGAUCAGUAAUUUUUUUUUGCUGUACCUACACACUUUUCACUCAUACACGAUGCGUGCUCGUGGCGGCGAAUGUGUUAAUUUUUAAUUGUAUUUCGACUUUUUAUAACUAUUAUACUAAUGGUCCGCAUUACUUAAUCUGCGCGUCAUAUACCAACAACACGAUGUCGACCGUGAUGCCAAGUUUGUUAAUAUUGACUGCCAUAGCCACGCCGUUGAUACAUUCUAUUUCAACUUCACAAGAUACGAUCCCUCAUGGGUAUCUUACAUAGCGAAGGCAACUCACCACAGUUCCGGAUCUGCAAGCUGUUCUGAGUCGGAUAUAGGCUUCAUGCCCAACAUUGGAUCACCGUGUGAACGUUUGAAAGUAGUUGUAUUCCGUACUGUGCCGUCAUCUAUAGAUGAAUGUGCGUCUCAACAAAAAUUUCAUAACAAUAUCGUCCCAGAUUCAAUUUGUAGGUGAUGGGCUUUAUUCUAAGGUGUCGUUGGAAUUUGUGACAACCAGGAUUUAGACUACUGCAUGUUUGACUGUCUAUAAACACAUAAAGUAUAAAAAAAAAUACGAUUAUUUAUUCAUAAAUCAAUUAAAAAUAAUACUAAAAUAAAGCUAACUUAUUUUAACUUCUAA